CUGGGCUGGCCGGGCUGCUGGCACCGCCAAGGUGACCUGGGAGCAUCCUGGAGAGCCCCGGGCUGCAGCAGGGGGAACUGCCCUGCAAGGACAAGCUCUCAGCCCCUUAAAUCAAACCUAACCCUCGGCUCGAGCUGCCGAGGGAAAUCCGGAGCUGCUCGGGGCAAGAGUUAAAAUGUGUUAAGCACCGAGAUCCAGGCCAGAUGUGGAACUCUCCGGGGCCACCACGGGGCUUUGAGCCGCUCGUUUGACACCUCUGCUUUCGACAUUAAAAGUCCCAGCGGGGAGGAAAUCCUCCUGGCCUGAGUUAUGUGUAUUUACCGAGGGGGGCUCCCUUGAAAGGAGCUCCAAUAAAACCUGGAAUAAGAGUAAAUUA